ensembl:lncRNA
CCUGAAGACCCAGUCAGCAUUUUAAUUUGGUCAUUAUGCACAAAUUUUUCACAUAGACAACAACAGUGACCUCUGCCAGAAGAGGGAGGAAUUCAUAAAGGGUGUAGACAUCUGGAACCAAACACUCAAGAGGAAGACCAAGCCAAACAGUAGGUGGAUGAAGGACAUGGAAGAUAAGGAUGAAAGGCCAACAAAACAGCAAAAGAGCAAAAAGGCAACCUGUACCCCAAAAGAAGCAUCAGACCAAAUAAUUGAAGGCCUGAAGAAGGAGUUGAUGGCAAAGCAAGCAUCUUUAGAGUCAAAUACUGAAAAGGAGGAGUCAUCAGAUGAGGACCUGCUGCCCAGGAACUGGAGUAAGGCACAGCAGAAAAUAAAGGAGCUUAAAAGAGAGAACAAGAGGCUGAAAGAAGGCAGUAUUAAAGAGAUAUUAGAUGC